GGGGCUAUAGCUCAGUUGGCUAGAGUAUUUGACUGGCAGUCAAGGGGUCGGGGGUUCGAAUCCCCCUAGCUCCACAA
rnacentral:tRNA from 1 species